rnacentral:rRNA from 1 species
GAUGAACGCUGGCGGCGUGCCUAAUACAUGCAAGUCGAGCGAACAGAUAAGGAGCUUGCUCCUUUGACGUUAGCGGCGGACGGGUGAGUAACACGUGGGUAACCUACCUAUAAGACUGGAAUAACUCCGGGAAACCGGGGCUAAUGCCGGAUAACAUUUAGAACCGCAUGGUUCUAAAGUGAAAGAUGGUUUUGCUAUCACUUAUAGAUGGACCCGCGCCGUAUUAGCUAGUUGGUAAGGUAACGGCUUACCAAGGCAACGAUACGUAGCCGACCUGAGAGGGUGAUCGGCCACACUGGAACUGAGGCACGGUCCAGACUCCUACGGGAGGCAGCAGUAGGGAAUCUUCCGCAAUGGGCGAAAGCCUGACGGAGCAACGCCGCGUGAGUGAUGAAGGUCUUCGGAUCGUAAAACUCUGUUAUUAGGGAAGAACAAAUGUGUAAGUAACUGUGCACGUCUUGACGGUACCUAAUCAGAAAGCCACGGCUAACUACGUG